GACGAACGCUGGCGGCGUGCCUAAUACAUGCAAGUCGAACGAGAGCGCCCGGUGCUUGCACUGGUCAAUCUAGUGGCGAACGGGUGAGUAACACGUGGGUAACCUGCCCAUCAGAGGGGGAUAACAUCCGGAAACGGAUGCUAAAACCGCAUAGGUCUUCGAACCGCAUGGUUUGAAGAGGAAAAGAGGCGCAAGCUUCUGCUGAUGGAUGGACCCGCGGUGCAUUAGCUAGUUGGUGAGGUAACGGCUCACCAAGGCCGUGAUGCAUAGCCGAUCUGAGAGGGUGAUCGGCCACAUUGGGACUGAGACACGGCCCAAACUCCUACGGGAGGCAGCAGUAGGGAAUCUUCCGCAAUGGACGCAAGUCUGACGGAGCAACGCCGCGUGAGUGAAGAAGGUUUUCGGAUCGUAAAACUCUGUUGUUAGAGAAGAGCAAGUGCUAGAGUAACUGUUAGCGCCUUGACGGUAUCUAACCAGAAAGCCACGGCUAACUACGUG
rnacentral:rRNA from 1 species